GUGUCAGCCGCCGCGGUAAUACGAAGGGGGCUAGCGUUGUUCGGAAUUACUGGGCGUAAAGCGCGCGCAGGCGGCCAUUCAAGUCAGGGGUGAAAGCCCGGAGCUCAACUCCGGAACUGCCUCUGAAACUGUCUGGCUUGAGUACGGGAGAGGUGAGUGGAAUUCCCAGUGUAGAGGUGAAAUUCGUAGAUAUUGGGAAGAACACCGGUGGCGAAGGCGGCUCACUGGCCCGUUUCUGACGCUCAGGCGCGACAGCGUGGGGAUCAAACAGGAUUAGAUACCCCUGUAGUCC
rnacentral:rRNA from 1 species